rnacentral:rRNA from 1 species
GAGGGGCAAAGAGGAAGCUGGAACGAACGGUGUAGUAGUGAAAUGCGUUGAUAUCGUUCGGAACACCAAUAGCGAAGGCGGGCUUCUGGGUGCCACCUGACACUGCUAGGACGAAAGCGUGGGGAGCGAAUGGGAUUAGAUACCCCAGUAGUCCACGCUGUAAACGAUGCACGUUAGGUGCUAGAGAGUAUCGACCCUCUUUAGUACCAUAGCUAACGCGUUAAACGUGCCGCCUGGGGAGUACGGCCGCAAGGCUAAAACUCAAAGGAAUUGACGGGGACCUGCACAAGCGGUGGAGCAUGUGGUUUAAUUCGACGGUAAGCGAGGAACCUUACCAAGGCUUGACAUAUACCUGCAAGCGCCAGAAAUGGCGCCGCCUUCGAGGGUGGUAUACAGAUGCUGCACGGUAGUCGUCAGCUCGUGCCGUGAGGUGUUCACUUAAGUGUGAAAACGAGCGCAACCCCUGUUAUGAGUUACAAGUGUCUCAUAAGACUGCCGGCGUCUAAGCCGGAGGAAGGCGGGGAUGACGUCAUAUCAGCGUGGCUCUUACGCCUUGGGCGACACACGUGCUACAAUGGGUUGGCACAAAGGGACGCCAAAGAGUAAUCUGGAGCAAAUCCUUAAAAACAACCCCCAGUUCGGAUCGAGGGCUGCAACUCGCCCUCGUGAAGCCGGAAUCGCUAGUAACCGUAGAUCAGCCUCGCUACGGUGAAUACGUUCUCAGGUUUUGUACACACCGCCCGUCAAGCCAUGGAAGCGGGAAGCGGAUGAAGCGCUCUUUUAGGGUUCCAAUCCGAAGCUCGUAACUGGGGCUAAGUCGUAACAAGGUAACCA